AAUAGAUACCCAGGUAGUCCACGCCGUAAACGAUGAGUGCUAAGUGUUAGGGGUUUCCGCCCUUAGUGCUGCAGCUAACGCAUUAAGCACUCCGCCUGGGGAGUACGGUCGCAAGGCUGAAACUCGAAAGGAAGUUGACGGGGGCCCGCACAAGCGGUGGAGCAUGUGGUUUAAUUCGAAGCAACGCGAAGAACCUUACCAGGUCUUGACAUCCCAUUGACCACUAUGGAGACAUAGUUUUCCCGUUCGGGGACAACGGUGACAGGUGGUGCAUGGUUGUCGUCAGCUCGUGUCGUGAGAUGUUGGGUUAAGUCCGCAACGAGCGCAACCUUCGUUCUUAGUUGCCAUCUAUUUAGUUGGGUCACUACGUAAGGAGACUCGUCCGGUGACGAAACCGGAAGGAAGGGU
rnacentral:rRNA from 1 species